AUAUGAUACCUCAAUUCUGUUUUGUAUCUAUCCUGUUACCAUGAGAGACCUCACCAUGGAAACAAAGUCUGACCUCCAGGACACAGAAGAUGUCAAAACAAGUGGACCAAAGACGGUUUAGGACAGAGACUCGAUGAAACCUGGUAAAGGAUCUGCCUGGAAUGUGGGAGACCUGAGUUUGAUCCCCGGGCUGGGAAGAUCCCCUGAAGAAAGGAAAGUCUACGCACUCAAGUAUUCUGGCCUGGAGAAUUCCAUGGACUGUAUAGUCCAUGGGGUCACAAAGAGUCAGAUACGACUGAGUGACUUUGAUUAGAUGAAACCAUGCUUGAAUUCCAUGUUAAAAAUGGCUAACUGGUACGAAGUUGGGAAAAUGUAUUAGACAGCAUGAGAAAUAAGGUGGAGGUAUGAAGAGAAAGAAGAGUCCAGUGGAGUUUAUGGUCUAUCUCUUCCAAAUGAAGAAGAGAUCAGGGGUUCUCGUCAGGCCUUGAAAAGAUACUUACAUUCUAGGAAUUAACCAUAAGGUCCCCCAGGAGACUCCAGGAGAUGCUGGGAUGUAUCAAGAACCACUAGUCUCACCCUUGAAACCACCUUUAUCUGUGAUGAUACCACAGAUGACAAGGGAAAUCCUGCUAGGAAUCUACUUCAUAUCUUUACCAG
ensembl:lncRNA